rnacentral:rRNA from 1 species
AUUGAACGCUGGCGGCAUGCUUUACACAUGCAAGUCGAACGGUAACAGGCCGCAAGGUGCUGACGAGUGGCGAACGGGUGAGUAAUGCAUCGGAACGUGCCCAGUCGUGGGGGAUAACGCAGCGAAAGCUGCGCUAAUACCGCAUACGAUCUAUGGAUGAAAGCGGGGGACCGUAAGGCCUCGCGCGAUUGGAGCGGCCGAUGUCAGAUUAGGUAGUUGGUGGGGUAAAGGCUCACCAAGCCAACGACAUGUAGCUGGUCUGAGAGGACGACCAGCCACACUGGGACUGAGACACGGCCCAGACUCCUACGGGAGGCAGCAGUGGGGAAUUUUGGACAAUGGGCGCAAGCCUGAUCCAGCAAUGCCGCGUGCAGGAAGAAGGCCUUCGGGUUGUAAACUGCUUUUGUACGGAACGAAACGGUCCUGGUUAAUACCCGGGGCUAAUGACGGUACCGUAAGAAUAAGCACCGGCUAACUACGUGCCAGCAGCCGCGGUAAAAC